AUGUUGAAAAUAGAAGUACAAAAGGGGUCGAACAUUAAACUGUACGUGUAAUUUAUUGUUAGAAAUUUAGUGAAAAUAUAGGGAUUAUCUGGACUUAUAAGUUAGGCGGUGUAGAUUUUAUAAUCAUGAAAUAAGAUGGGGACCAUUGUCUUUUCCAUUAUUGUAAUUGAAUUACUUUUUUUGUAGGUAAUUUUAAUUUUUUUUUAUUUAAGCUUUCUUUAUUAUAUAUUGGGUCUUGAUAAAUUAUGUUUUUUGAUGGUCAGUUUAAUUUACUACUCUUUUUGUCCCUCUUUUUUUUAUUAAGGGACUACUACCAAUUAUUAAUUAUCUCUUUCUAUUUUUCUUAAUCAUUAUUUGCUUAAUCUAUUGCUACUAAAAUUUCAUGGAGGUAACUCUAUUUCUCAUUAGCUUCUAAUGGCUUUUUCUCCACAUUUUUACCAUUUAUGUUUAGCAUAAUAGGUCUUGCUAAUAUUCUUAAUACAGAUAGUAAAACUUAUUAGCCAACUAGUAAAUUUUCCCAUUCAAUACUCUUUCGACUAAAUGUUCCCUUUUUUCUCUUCAUCCUUCGUAUUGGAAGAAUAGACAAAAAAGUUGAUGUUAUUCAACCUAAGACCUAUUUAAAUGUAGCAAUAAAAAUGAAAAUUUUUCUAUUGGAUAAUUACAGUAGUAUCACAGAAUUGAAGUCCUUAAAACAUUUCAACAAUAAAUUGUUACAUGAAUAAGAUAACCUUCGAUUGAGAAAAAUACUAUUUGGUUGAAAUAAAUACUUGAAACUUUUAGUAGAAUUGGUAUCAUGUACUAAUAUCCAGAAAAGCAAAACAACUGCACAUCAUCAGUUACUCGAUAAUGCAAUAGUAAUUAUGAACUGAUAAAAAAAAAUCUUGACAUCCUAGAGCCAAGUUAAGGGAAAAAUGAACUUCUUAAUCAAAAUGAUCAAUCUUCAAGUCAAUAGCAUGCUAAAAGGUAAGGUAGCACAUAAUUUCUAUAAAAUAUCAUGUUUCAAUUUUGUUGAUAAUUGUCUCUUUUAUUGUGCUUUUUUCUUGAACAAAUAAAGGCUUUCGAUUACUGUUGAACAUUUAAUGUAUAUAUUUAUCAAUUGUCUCUGUAGUAUAAAUAUUAUGUCAAACAGGGUUGAUCUACCACACCAUUUCUUUACAAUUAUUGCAAGUUCAUUGGGCCAUAACGAUCGUCUGGUGAGUUCUAAAAUGAUCUCUUUGUUAGCAUUUAUUUAUUGGGCCAUAAUAUUCGUUUGGUGAGUUCUAAAACUAAAUAUAAAGUAAAUAAUAUUCCUUAUAAGACUUAUAUUUUUUUAUAGUCGACACCGAGAACUUUUGUACAACGCUUGGGACACGAUCUUACUCAUGCAGUACGUUUGAUUGGUUAUGAUGACAUUAUCCGUAGCAUACAACUCGAAAGAGUUGAUGAUAACAUAUAUCUUGCUGCUGGACGGCCACAGUUUUUUAACCACCAUAAUUUGCAAAAUGGUUAUGUUAUUGUCUUUGAAUACCAAGGAAAUUCUACUUUCGAUGUUUCGAUAUUUGACCAUUCAAGCGUAGAAGUGACGUAUUAGUCUGAGGGAUUUGAGGUAGAGCUUUCACAUAGUGGUAAUCCUAUUUUCCGAGUAAUAUUAGAGGCUGCUCGCGAUGGUUAUAGAAUAAUUGUGAGCUCCUCUUUCACUUGAAUCUCUUUUAUCUUUAUCUUUCUCAAAUUACACGUAUGAACAAUUUUCAUAUUUGUUUUUCUCAUCUAAUUUGAAAUUUCACGACUUAUAGAUUUGUCAUUCUAUUUUGUAGUAUGUACCUAGAGCCUUCGCUCGAUUGUAUCUACCAAAAUUUGUACAGAGUGUUCAAAUCCAUGAUAGUUCACAUUAUAAUUGGUUAGUGCAAACGAAUCUAAGAACCAAUGGUUAUGUAUGACAUUUCACCGUAGAUUGGGCAGAUUAUGUUAGGGAGAAACGGUUUCAAAUACGUGAAACAUGUGUAUUUGAACUUAUAGACGAUGAAAUCCCAAUGUUCGUGGUUUACAAAGUGUGUCGCACUGAUGGGACUAUUACAUAAAUUGUACAUCUUCAUUCGUAGCUUUCACGUUUGCUUAUUAUGGAACAUCUGUUAUGUUCUCUUAUGCAUGAACACUAUAUAACUAGAUCCAUUGGGAUUUUGACUUGUAAUUUGCUUAUGUUCUUCUUAUUUCAAGAUCGCAUCCAAUUUGAAGAUUCUGUUCAUUUUGAAUAGGUUGUAACAGAAAUUUGAUUUAAUUACAUAUAAUUAACCUAUAUGUUGAUGUCCUACAUUUGGACUUCAUGCAAUGCUACAUCAUCGUCAUUUGGAGUUUGACAACCUUCUAGCUAAAAUUAUUUCAAGUAAGUAAACAAUUUUAUGAUUUGUGAUUUUAUAAACAAUAUACAAAAUUAUUUAUUCCCACUCUUAGUGUCUCCACUUUUUUUGCAGGUACAUUUAGAGAGUCAAAUAUUGGCAAUAGUGUUUGAGCCAUUUCCAAAGCAUUUAUCACUAAGUUUAGAAAGAACUCUUCUAAAAGUCUACCAUAAUUUAAAGGAGCAAUCAAAUAUCUUCACGAAAACUUCUCUUUUGUUUAUAGUUACAAAAUGAACAAGAUAUAGCUCAAACCAACAAUGACUUUUCUGUUAAAAUAUUUGAUUGAUCUUUUAAAUUAUAUUUUGCUUUUGGGAGACUUUUUCUAAUUUAGUGAUGAUUACUUUGGAAGAGGUGUAAACUCUAUAUUUCAACAUGAUAUUACAUUGAGGUGAUUCUUUAACUAACAUUUAUUAAAUGACAUUUUUUUCCAUGGUGUCAUUUGCUACUUUUGUGUUCUAUUUUAGAAUGGACUUCAAAAGGACAAUUUAAUCGACCCUAAUUACCGGUCAAUACCUGCCUAGUCGCGCAAAAUCCAUUAAAUUUUUCUUUAUUUAUACUCUUACUAAUAUUAUGCGGGUAAAUGAGUGAGAUCUAAUCUUAAUGAGAUUGGUUAUGACAUUAAUUUAGUCCAUGAGAUAGUAUCCGACUUGGUAAGCUACCACAGCAUGAUUGUUUAGAUGUGAUGUAAUUUUCUUUUUGCUACAUUUUUGUCUCACAAUAAUUCAUUCUAAAUAUCUUUAUGAGUGUAGGAAGCUUUUUAUGAUUAUAAUGGCCCAUCUAAUGGAUGAUCAAGUCAUAACAAAAGGAAAACUUCAUUCAUCAUCAUCAUACCAGUUUGAAGACAACAUCAAUGCCACAAUAUAAAAAUUUUAUUUGCUCAUUUUGUCCUUUCCAUCUAAAUGAUUCUACCACAACCACCUCCAAACAUUUGUUUUAUUUGAUAGUACUGAUAACAAGAACUUUGCGAGGCUUUUGGCUUGUAACUUUGUUCUAUUUUGAAAUACUACUUGUGUGAAAAGUCUUCCAUGAAGUUUGAGCUUAACAACAAUGUAUAAUAAGUUUCAUGAUGCUUUAGCUUCUAACUUGACUAUGAUGAUAUCAUGAUUCUUUAGCUUCUAACUUGACUAUGAUGAUAUAAAGAGUGCAUCUUCUGAAACAUAUAGGUCAUCAUUCAUUUGCUUCUUACAAUAUUUGUUUUAGUCCAUUAGUUAACAUUUUAUUAUGAACCAUUAAUAGAAUUCUUUUUCAAAUUGAUUCCUCCAUCAUAGCUCUAUCUUUUUUAAGUUGCCGAAAGUAAACUUUGCACAAUUUGAUUAUUCCAUCAAAACUUCUCUUUCCCUUCUCCAUUAUCAACAUUACAAAAGAAGAUUUGAUUAUUGGUAUCUAGAAAAUAACCAAUACCACUCUACGCUAUUACAUACUUAACUAUACUAUAACACGUGCCUUGCACGUGCGACCCACUAGUAUAAUAAAAAAAUGUAACUUACAU
rnacentral:lncRNA from 1 species